rnacentral:rRNA from 1 species
UAGCUAGUUGGUGAGGUAAAGGCUUACCAAGGCGACGAUCUGUAGCGGGUCUGAGAGGAUGAUCCGCCACACUGGAACUGAGACACGGUCCAGACUCCUACGGGAGGCAGCAGUGGGGAAUUUUGGACAAUGGGGGCAACCCUGAUCCAGCCAUGCCGCGUGAGUGAAGAAGGCCUUCGGGUUGUAAAGCUCUUUCGGCCGGGAAGAAAUCGCAUGGGCCAAUACCCUGUGUGGAUGACGGUACCGGAAUAAGAAGCACCGGCUAACUACGUGCCAGCAGCCGCGGUAAUACGUAGGGUGCGAGCGUUAAUCGGAAUUACUGGGCGUAAAGCGUGCGCAGGCGGUUUUGUAAGACAGGCGUGAAAUCCCCGGGCUUAACCUGGGAACUGCGUUUGUGACUGCAAGGCUAGAGUACGGCAGAGGGGGGUGGAAUUCCACGUGUAGCAGUGAAUGCGUAGAGAUGUGGAGGAACACCAAUGGCGAAGGCAGCCCCCUGGGUCGAUACUGACGCUCAUGCACGAAAGCGUGGGUAGCAAACAGGAUUAGAUACCCUGGUAGUCCACGCCCUAAACUAUGUCAACUAGGUGUUGGGUGGGUAAAACCAUUUAGUACCGUAGCUAACGCGUGAAGUUGACCGCCUGGGGAGUACGGCCGCAAGGUUAAAACUCAAAGGAAUUGACGGGGACCCGCACAAGCGGUGGAUGAUGUGGAUUAAUUCGAUGCAACGCGAAAAACCAUACCUACCCUUGACAUGCCAGGAACUUGCCAGAGAUGGCUUGGUGCCCGAAAGGGAGCCUGGACACAGGUGCUGCAUGGCUGUCGUCAGCUCGUGUCGUGAGAUGUUGGGUUAAGUCCCGCAACGAGCGCAACCCUUGUCGUUAAUUGCCAUCAUUUAGUUGGGCACUUUAACGAGACUGCCGGUGACAAACCGGAGGAAGGUGGGGAUGACGUCAAGUCCUCAUGGCCCUUAUGGGUAGGGCUUCACACGUCAUACAAUGGUCGGUACAAAGGGUUGCCAAGCCGCGAGGCGGAGCCAAUCCCAGAAAGCCGAUCGUAGUCCGGAUUGCAGGCUGCAACUCGCCUGCAUGAAGUCGGAAUCGCUAGUAAUCGUGGAUCAGCAUGUCACGGUGAAUACGUUCCCGGGUCUUGUACACACCGCCCGUCACACCAUGGGAGCGGGUUCCGCCAGAAGUAGGUAGCCUAACCGCAAGGGGGGCGCUUACCACGGCGGGGUUCGUGACUGGGGUGAAGUCGUAACAAGGUAGCCGUAGGGGACCUGCGGCUG